GAUGAAGAACGUAGCGAAAUGCGAUAAGUAAUGUGAAUUGCAGAAUUCAGUGAAUCAUCGAAUCUUUGAACGCACAUUGCGCCCCUUGGUACUCCGAGGGGCAUGCCUGUUCGAGCGUCAUUAUAACCCUCAAGCUCAGCUUGGUGUUGGGGCCUGCUGCACUGGCAGCCCUUAAAAUCAGUGGCGGCGCCAUCUGGCUCUAAGCGUAGUAAUUCUUCUCGCUAUGGAGUCCUGGUGGAUGCUUGCCAUCAACCCCCAAUUUUUCUAUGGUUGACCUCGGAUCAGGUAGGGAUACCCGCUGAACUUAAGCAUAUCAAUAAGCGGAGGA
rnacentral:misc_RNA from 1 species